rnacentral:rRNA from 1 species
UACGUAGGGUGCAAGCGUUAAUCGGAAUUACUGGGCGUAAAGCGUGCGCAGGCGGUUUUUUAAGUCAGAUGUGAAAGCCCCGGGCUCAACCUGGGAACUGCGUUUGAAACUGGAAGACUAGAGUGUGGCAGAGGGGGGUGGAAUUCCGCGUGUAGCGGUGAAAUGCGUAGAGAUGCGGAGGAACACCGAUGGCGAAGGCAGCCCCCUGGGAUAACACUGACGCUGAGGCGCGAAAGCGUGGGGAGCAAACAGG